GGGUCAUUAGGUUGGUCGUGCCACCGGUACGUACUGGUCUCACUGAUUCCUCCUUCCUGAAGAACCGUAAUGCCAUUAAUUUUGUGUUGCGGGGAAACAGGACUGUUACUUUGAAAAAAUUAGAGUGUUUAAAGCAAGCUAACGCUUGAAUACAUUAGCAUGGAAUAAUGAAAUAGGACGAUCGAUCCUAUUUUGUUGGUUUCUAGGAUUGACGUA
rnacentral:rRNA from 1 species